GUUAUAGUAGCUUAUUCCAUUUGGAAGGUUUUUUGUUUAAGACAGCUUUUCGUGCCCUUACUUUUGAGUCUAUCAGCUGCAACAAGGACUGCGGGAACGAGUGCAUAAUGCGUGAGAAUGCCGAACAGUUCGGGCUAAAUCCUGAAGUAAGCUAAAAAGCACUGUUUGAUGAGCCUGCGUAGUAUUAGGUAGUUGGUCAGGUAAUGUCUGACCAAGCCAAUGAUGCUUAGCUGGUUUUUUCGGAUGAUCAGCCACACUGGGACUGAGUUACGGCCCGGAGUCCCACGGGGGGCAAUAGUGGGGAAUCUUGAACAAUGGGCGAAAGCCCGAUCCAGCAAUAUCGCGUGAGUGAAGAAGGGCAAUGCCGCUUGUAAAGCUCUUUCGUCGAGUGCGCGAUCAUGAAAGGAGUCGAGGAAGAAGCCCCGACUAACUCCGUGCCAGUAGCCGCGGUAAGACGGGGGAGCAAGUGUUCUUCGGAAUGACAGGGCGUAAAGGGCACGUAGGCGGUGAAUCGGUGUUGCAUGGCUAUCGUCAGCUCGUGUCCUGAGAUGUUUGUUCAAGUCCUAUAACGAGUGAAACCCUCGUUUUGUGUUACUGAGACAUGCGCCUAAGGAGAAAGUCUUUGCAACCGAAGUGAGCCGAGGAUCCGAGUGACGUGUCAGCGCUACUAAUUGAGUGCCAGCAUCUAGCUGUGCUGUCAGUAUGAAGGUAGCCGGCGCCUUUCGAAGCACUUUCUAUUUUUAGUUAGCAUUGUUUUAUUAUUGCAGCUAGCGCGCUUGACUAAUAAGAUAGAAAGGGCCUUUCUCGCUUGUUUUGUAAAGUCAAGUUUUUGGCCUUAUCUUGCAGGUGACGACGAUGUCGAGUUGACGGCAGAGAAAGACUCGGCAUCCAGGCGAGCCACCCGGUGGUGUGGUACAUAGUGGGUUUAGUACGCCCCUCCAAAACAAACGGCUUCGAAACAAACAAAAAGGUGUGUGCCGCACUCACGAAGGACUGCCAGUGAUAUACUGGAGGAAGGUGGGGAUGACGUCAAGUCCUCGUGGCCCUUAUGGGUUGGGCCACACAUGUGCUACAUUGGCAAUUACAAUGGGAAGAAAGUCUGUAAGGCGGACGUAUCUGGAAAGAUUGCCUCAGUUUGGAUUGUUCUCUGCAACUCGGGAACAUAAAGUUUGAAUCGCUAGUUAUUUCGGAUCAGCAUGCCGCAGUAAAUAUGUGCCCGGGCCUGGUACAAAGCCCGUCACACCCUGGGAAUUGGUUUCCCCCGAAGCAUCGGACCAAUCAUCACCCAUGACUUCUGUGGAAUACUAGUGCCAAAAAGCCCUUUGGUGGUAUUAUUGGCGCAUACCACGGUGGGAUCUUCGACUGGGGUGAAGUCGUAACAAGGUAGCCGUAGGGGAACCUGUGGCUG
rnacentral:rRNA from 1 species